AAGCAAAGAAGUAAAAUACAAUUAAUUUCGACUUAAAAUUAAGGAUAAACCUCAUGCUUA
rnacentral:tRNA from 1 species